CUCGACUCUUAGUUCCACCUAUCUUGCUUUCCUAUUGGCUAACAGUACUUUAUUUAUCAACCAAUAAGACAAACAUAUAUACAGAAGGACCUCCCCCAUAAAAAGAUUUUCAAUAAAAGGAAAGAAUGUUGCUGAGGCUUCAGCUGACACAGCAAUAUCAAAGCAUUCAAACAGAAGAAUGACAGCUGGAAAGGGACAAGCUUGGAAGAAAGUCCAAUUUAUAUCUCCCAUUAUAAAGAAGACUAUAUGUUGUCAAUGCUAAACCUGCAACAGGUAACUGAAAACAAGUUUAAAAAGCUUCUCAGUUACAGGAGGUCCCAUUUAUUAAUUGUGGAUCUCAGUGUCUGUGCUACUGGUGUUACUAUGUUCAGGAAUCGGCCUCCUGUACCAAUUCGUUCAAGAGCCUUCAUCCAGCAGCGGAUGGAAGUAGAAGCAGACACCCACAGCUAAACAGUGAACUGAACUGGAAUCCAGUUGCAGAGAAGGAGUGAUGAGCAAAGGGGUCCAUACCAGGCUGGUGAAACCCACAGAAACAGCUGAUCUGAACAAUUAGGUGCUCUUGGUCCCCAGACUGAUCACUGGAAACCAGCAUGGAACUGAUCCAGACCCCAUGAACAUGGGUGUCCAUGAUGAGGCCUCAGAAAUCUAUGGGGCCUCUUGUAGUAGGUCAGUACUUAUCCCUAGCAUAGGUGUGGACUUUGGGAGCCCAUUCCACAUAGAGGGAUACUCUCUGAGCCUAGACACAUGAGGGAGGGCCUAGGCCCUAUCCCAGAGGAUAUGACAGACUUUUAAGAUCCCCCAUGGAAGGCCUUGCCCUCCCUGGAGAGCAGAGAGGGUAUGGGAUAGGUAGGAUGUUAGUGGGG
rnacentral:lncRNA from 1 species